UACGGAGGGUGCAAGCGUUAUCCGGAUUCACUGGGUUUAAAGGGUGCGUAGGUGGGCAAGUAAGUCAGUGGUGAAAUCUCCGGGCUUAACCCGGAAACUGCCAUUGAUACUAUUUGUCUUGAAUACUGUGGAGGUAAGCGGAAUAUGUCAUGUAGCGGUGAAAUGCUUAGAUAUGACAUAGAACACCAAAUUGCGAAGGCAGCUUACUACACAGUUAUUGACACUGAGGCACGAAAGCGUGGGGAUCAAACAGG
rnacentral:rRNA from 1 species